CGCGCGAGUUAUCAGCGGUCGACUUGCGAUUGUUAAAAAUUCUUUAGAUAAGAAGUAACUUGAUAAGGUGCGAAUAGUGUGUCUUAUAACGCCGUGUUUGUUUACCAAACUCUACCUUACAUCUUACUGACUGUAAGAAAAAACAUAUUUCACUUUACUUUACUUCUUCGUAUAUCAAGUAUACAAUAGUGGUUUAGAGGUCGCAAGAGCACAAUCGUUGUUAUUGCAACAGCUCUUUAUCGUUUAGAAUCGCGAAAGUGUGCACGAAUUAAUCACGCGAUCCAAGUUUAGAGACAGAAUUAUUAAUUUUUAGAUUUAAAACGGACAAAUUAAGUUUUAUUAAGUGCAGUGCGUAGAUGUCCAGUGCGGAGAAAAUGGCGGAUGGGUGAAGAGGCGAACAUCGGCGCAGAACAAGGAUGGAGCGGCUUGCGGCGCUUGCCCAAAUCGUCGACAUAAAAAAGAUUACCAAUAUUGAGGGAGUUCAAAAGCGAAGGAUGAUUUUCUUUGGCAGUUACAGCAUAUAUAAAGUUACAGCACUCGUUGUGCCUGGCAUUCCGAUAAGCUGUACACUGUUACAGCACUCGUUGUGCCCGGCAGUCCGAUAAGCUGUACACUGAUUCGUCCACUACAUGAUGCUGGAGCCGUCUUCUCCCGACACCGGGCCAUACUUUAAAGGAUCACGGGACUAUCACUGUGUAUAAGUGAGAUCCGGAAAUCUGUUGUCAGGUCCAACCAUCAUUAUUUUUUAUGUUCAUUUUCCUAAUGUUGUGUAUUGUAUUGUGUAGUAUCGAUGAUCCUGGGUUAAAAUCAUUUCAUUACAUUUUGUGACGUGUAAGAAAUCCUUUUAAAACUAACUCUUUCAAAUUUUGAAAUCUGUUUCAAGAGCGCAACAUGGAUGGCAGUGCGUCGGCGCUGCGAUUCACUUUACUCAGCCGCUACAAGCGACUCAACCGGUCCGUUCUUAUCUGUUGGCGUCAGUUGAUCCGCACUCGUUCGCGACCGUGCACGUUUGCGGCGGAUUGAAUUCGGUUACACGGUAUUCCAUAGCUCUUCAAGAAAUCGAGUUUUCGCGUGCAUUCUUUGAUUAAGUUAUCCGUAAUUAACACUCUAAACAUUGUAAUACAUUGAUGUAUUGUAUGUUAUAUGUUUAAAUGCAUGUUUUGGAACUAUUUAUCGGGUUCAACGAGCGUGGUGUCCUUGCAGAGUCCAUGCGAUUGCUAUAAGUGAACCCCGGAUCUUGCAGCGUGGUGUGGUUCCAGUCGCUUACGAUCUUCACGGCUCUUAGCGACGGCAUUUAGUACGACGUAGAAUGUGUUGUGCGAAUAAUUGUGCAUGUAAUUGAUUAAAAGUGGGAAUUAAGUAUUGCCCUGGUAGUGUGCAAGUGUGAUGUCGUCGGCCGUCGGAUAACUACAGAUUGCUAAGAAUCACAAUUGGAUUUAAUUUUCAGCCUGCUUGAAAUGGUUGCAACUACUUUCGUGUGCAGUAGGCGAUUGUGAGCGUGGGUAUAAUGUAGUUAAGUAAACUUUUUUAAAUACUUUAAACAGUUUGUCUGCUUAACACCGAAUUUAACGCAUUUCCUCUUUCCGACGGAAGUUGUUUGCGUGGUAGAAUCAUCGUUCAGCUAUAGUUCGUACAUCUAGAGUGAGUUUUUAAUUAUCAUUUCAUUUAUUAUCACUUUACACUUUAUCACUGUACACGCGUUUCUCGCGAUUUGCUACUCUUAUUCAAAUUUUAAUUCAUCGAGUUAUAAAUAUUCAUCUAUCGAUGGCAGUUAGUUGCAACCAGUGUUUUCCUGUCUAUUUUGCAUGCGUAGAAUUUUCGUGCUACAUAAUUUACAUGAUGUUAAAUAAAGGAUCAUGCAUUUUUUAACUUUUACCUGUACUCUUUGCAACUAGCGUAGUAUUGCUUCUCUUUUGCUAUUAGAUAUUCCGUUGUCCUUUAUAUUUACUUUUUAUAUGUAGUUAUCUGCCUUUGGCACACCCGGUCUAUUAGUUUCACUUAAAAUCACGUGAAAAUGCUUGAAGUUGAAGUUUUUGUGAGUUUUUCUUGUGGAAUUUUGAGAUUUCCAUUUUGUGAGACCGUGUAGAUUAGUUUUUCGUAUUCUAUAGUAAAAAUGGUAAAACUACUAGUAUUCUUUUACUUUUACUUUGGAUUUUCUUUGUAUGUGCUAUUUUUGUAAUUCAUCUUGUGAUUUUCUUUUUGUGACACCCUGUAUAUUGGUUUCUUCAAUUUUCCUAUGAAAAAAUAGGCGACAUUUAUGGUAUUCGAGUGUUUUCUUAUUUUAGCCUGUGAUUUCCUUUUUGUGACACCCUGUAUAUUAAUUUUCUCAGUUUUCCUAUGGAAAAAUGGGCUACAUUUAUUGUAUUCAAGUGUUUUCUUAUUUUAGCCUGUGAUUUUCUUUGUGUGACACCCUGUAUAUUUGUUUCCUACGUUUUCCCAUGAAAAAUGGGCGACGUGAAUGAUUUUGGAGUGUUUCCGUAUUUUGGCCUGUGAUUUGUAACACUCAGUAUAAUAGUUUCCUAAAUUUUCCUGGGAUAUCAGAUAAAAUGUAUGGUUUUUGAGUGUUGUACUGCUUCAACAUUGAAUUGUCGUUUUUUAUACGUAAUUGUUCUCAUUUUCUAACGCUCACUAUGUUAGCUACUUUAUACAUCCAGCGAAAAUAUUAAAAAUGGCGAUGUAUUGUAUUAUAAAUUUUUAUUGUACUGCAUUUCAAAUACAUCAUGUGUUUAAAUAAAACGAACUAUACAUGUACUGGCUUGUAUGUGUGCGGCUUAGCAGGUCGUAAGUCCUGUUUCAAUAUGGCGACAUGUAUUCUGUUGACUUGUAAAGUCUAAACUUGUAUUCUAUUGUUAAUAAAGAAACAGUAAGAUAUA